AAAAAAGAAAAAAAAGAAAAAANAAAAAAAAAGAAGCUAAAAGCUAGUUGCUAAAAGUUAGUUAUGUUCCUAGUUUGCUCCUUCCAGGACCCCAGAUUGUUAACAUCAUAACUGGGGAAUGUAAGUUCCUAUCUGCUACUGAUCCUCCUGUUAAAAAUAUUUUAUUAAUAUCCAAAUAUUGGUCUAGGAUCAUGUUUUAUUAAUUUAUCUUCUGAAUGCUGGUAAAACCAUCCUGUUAACAAUUCAACCAAAACUUCACGUCUUUUUUUAUCAUGCUUAUUUUAUCUCUUUUAGAAGGAGACCCUUUUUUGCGCUUGAUAUAUAUUAUAAAAGGUUUUAAACCAAAUCUGGUUUAAAAGGUUUGAAUGCUCGUUGCUCUUGUUUUUAUAAUUGCUGAGAGCAAUUAUGCUUGAUAUAUAUUAUAAAUCUAACUUGUUUGCCAUUAGUUGAAGCAUUGCGAUGACCAUUGUCCUUUCUUGUCUUCAGGAAACUUAUCUAGAUUUUUGGAUUUUUAGAAGCAAGAGCACACAGAAUAGUUGCAGCCCUGAAGGGGCCUGCAAAGGCUACAUUUUUGCCUUGAAGGUCACUGAGGAGCUUCAGUGCUGGCCUGAACAGGCGAGCCACAAGAGGCAAUGGGUCAGUAUCUCAUUGCACUCCAACUAUAUGGUACACAAACCAGGUGCAUCAUUUGAGAAAUCACAGGCCCCCUACUAACAUUGCUAUUCUUAAAUCAGGUACAAGUGAUGGAGGCAUUUAAACUUUGUCGGUAUGAAUGGAUGCGUGAAGCUCUUCGAAAAUUCAUACAACUAAUGUCAGUCCAAACCAUGCCACCUGCUCUCGAGUUACCUAUGCCACCUGCUCUCGAGUUAGCGGAACCAAAAAAAUCCAGCUUCAACGACAAUGUAAUGUUAGUAGGGAUGCGAGUUGCUUGUCCUACAAGUUCUUGGUGAGAAUGAGGCUCGUUUUGUUUAAAAAAUUGUUGUGUGGAGUCCCAAUCGCAGGCAUUACUUUUAAUGGGCAAUUUGGCAUUGGUCUGCUGUCAGGGUGAGUCCCAAUCAUGGCAACAUUUUGAUCAAUCCAAUGGCUGCCAUUGGGGUUUCGGAAUCCAUGCUGGUUGUCAGUGUAGAAUAUGUUACUCAUGUUGUAAUUCUGCUGUAAUGAGAAUGGAUCUGUUUUCAUCAACUGGGAAUCAAUGUGUACAGUACUUUAUAUUUUGUCACUGGCCUGAUUAUAGUUAAUGUUUCAUGUAUCA
rnacentral:lncRNA from 1 species